AACAACUCGUCAACGACUGGUCGUAUAACUGAUGACAGACAGCUAGAUUAACGGACUGCAGUCAAGUAUUUGAUUUCCUGGUUCGUUUAAACAGGUUUUUCCAUCCAAUCUGAGGAAUGAGAGAAAGCCUAAUAAAAAAAAUUAAAAGGAAGAAAAUAGAACAAUCUACACAAAUAUUUGUGACUGUCGUUUAUCUAUCUGUUUAGGGUUGGUGGCUAGUGGACUACACUAGGGCUGUCCCGAGGCUGAAAUUUGGUGUUAUGGGGCUUUUCUGGCAAUCUCUAGAGACUGGUAUCAUCAUAUUACAGUAUACGUAUUUGAAACAAAGAUGUAGAUAUGAGUAUGAGUGGUCAGUAUUGAGAGCCGGCUACUUAACCCUAACUCCCAUCCAGGAAGAGGGAGGUAGGAUUUUCCGCAAGUCCCUUGAUCGAAUGGAAGUGUUUACUCACUAUUGACCUUACAUUGUAGAAUACAUA